GACGAACGCUGGCGGCGUGCCUAAUACAUGCAAGUAGAACGAGUUGCGAACGGGUGAGUAACGCGUGGUAACCUGCCUCAUAGCGGGGGAUAACUAUUGGAAACGAUAGCUAAUACCGCAAACUGUGAGAUGGACCUGCGUUGUAUUAGCUAGUUGGUGAGGUAACGGCUCACCAAGGAGACGAUCCCGAGCUGGACUGAGAGGAUGACCAGCCACACUUGAACUGUGACACGGUCCAGACUCCUACGUGAGGCUGCAUUUGGUAAUAUUGCACAUUGGGCGCAAGCCUGAUGCAGCAAUGCCGCGUGUAUGAAGAAGGCCUUCGGGUUGUAAAGUACUUUCAGCGGGGAGGCGUUACCCGCAGAAGAAGCACCGGCUAACUCCGUGCCAGCAGCCGCGGUAAUAC
rnacentral:rRNA from 1 species